rnacentral:rRNA from 1 species
GUCAUAUGCUUGUCUCAAAGAUUAAGCCAUGCAUGUCUCAGUACAAGCCAAAUUAAGGUGAAACCGCGAAAGGCUCAUUAAAUCAGUUAUGGUUCCUUAGAUCGUACCCACAAUUACUUGGAUAACUGUGGUAAUUCUAGAGCUAAUACAUGCAAACAGAGCUCCGACCGGAGACGGAAGGAGCGCUUUUAUUAGAUCAAAACCAAUCGGUGGCGAGCUUGCUCGUCAUCGUACAACUUGGUGACUCUGAAUAACUUUACGCUGAUCGCACGGUCGUCGCACCGGCGACGCAUCUUUCAAAUGUCUGCCUUAUCAACUGUCGAUGGUAGGUUCUGCGCCUACCAUGGUUGUAACGGGUAACGGGGAAUCAGGGUUCGAUUCCGGAGAGGGAGCCUGAGAAACGGCUACCACAUCCAAGGAAGGCAGCAGGCGCGCAAAUUACCCACUCCCGGCACGGGGAGGUAGUGACGAAAAAUAACGAUACGGGACUCAUCCGAGGCCCCGUAAUCGGAAUGAGUACACUCUAAACCCUUUAACGAGGAUCAAUUGGAGGGCAAGUCUGGUGCCAGCAGCCGCGG